CGAUCGAUCGGCCACCAAUCAUAAUCGGCCGAUUUCAGUGAAAGUGUAUGAUCGGUGAUCGCCGAUCACUUGUAUCUCACUUCGCAGCCUGCAUGUGCAGCUCAUCUACUCUUUCCUUCACACUGCGCAGGCGCACGGCAACAAAUCCUAAGCAAUGUGGUAAGGAAUUAUCAU